GCACAGCCGUCUUCAGAGGCGGAGACGGGCCGACCUGGCAAGAGUCCGAGGUCUGUUAGCCACCUGCGUGCGUCGGGGUCCGGCUGUCCGCGUCUGCACCCUGGGUCACAUGCGCUCAGGGCACACGCAGCAAACGGGAAAAACACGCAAAGUGGGCAUAUCUCUAAGAAAUGCCGUAUUUUGUUUUUUUUCCCAGCGUUAAAAAUAAGCAGAAAGAGGAUAUUCCUCAAAGCCCCCGCAUUCAUCUUAGUCAUCUAACCAUGAAAUCGCGCUGGGCAUUUUUCACUUAGUCUGACACCCCCGGCUUCGUGGGGAUAUACGUUUCAGUUUGUCUGGACGCGAAACGAUUUAGGUCCUGGUGAAAGAGGAACCAUCCCCGGAUAGACAGCGCCCGCAUGUGCGUGUGAGAUCGCGCCGCAGUUCAUAUGGAAGCGACUCCAAUAAUUCAAUAAGCGCCGUCUUCCCAGUGAAAAGGCAAGUUUGUGCUAAGAGAAAAAUGUCACUCGGGGGUGUAGUAAAUCGGCAAAAACCGCCGAUUACAGUUCUGCAUUCAGAGACAUUGCUUUCUCAAAGACAUUUGUCAGCGGAUACAUUAGAGAUUGCACCGAGCUGAAGCGAUUUGCGCUGAGAUAUUUUACGGGGACCAAGGCAACACCGGUUUGGGCUACCUGUUUGCGGGGACACGAUGCAGGAUCAAAACAAAAUGAAAAGACUAUGAGGGUAAGUCUUUCCUAAAAAGAUGAAAAAACAAAUAUAUUUCUAUAUUACCUUUCGUUUCUUUCGCCAUGCCGUCUCGCCCUUCUUCCCUUUGCCGACAGUAAGGUUAGGAGACGCGUCUCCUGCUGCGUGUUUCGCAUGCGGUCCUGCCCGCGGAGGCGCCCUCUCCACCUCCUCGGACCCGCGCCUCGGAGCCCGCCGUACCGCAGCGCUGGAGCCGCUAAGGAGCACCGCGGCAGAGGGUCUCCCCCUUGAAGGAGCUACGCAGCUCUAACGGUCGGGGAUACGAAGGCAGCGGAGCCACUGCUCGCCUGGAGCUACGAACACACUUUACGCAUUUGUGUCUUUGCGGUCCGUAAGACUUCAGACCUGCCCCCUUUCUACUGUAUUGUAUUAAUAAUAAACACACACACACUUUU